rnacentral:lncRNA from 1 species
GCUUCUCUCUCUCUAAAGUCCCAUACAUAGACAUAACCUUUGAAUCUGAAUAAAAAUACAGCAAGUUUCAAUUCUGCCUCUUCUUGUCAGGAAACCAGGGAGAAGACAGGUAGAGCCUCCUUAGCCAAGAGGGCUUGAGGUGCAGGGGGACCCGCUGUAGUCUCCAGGAAGGCAGAGCUAAGGAGGGGAAGGCGUGGGGGGCUCACCACGGCCAUGUGGUGCUGACAGAGGAGAGGCGUCCUACCGUCUCUGCCCAGAAGGUCCAGCAGCAGUGGCUUCACAGGGGCAAGCUGAUACCUGGGGACCGAUUCUGAGAAAAGUGGCGAGGAAGUUGCCCAACAUGGGGAGGAGACAAACAUCCAGAAGGAUCCUUAUGAAGAGCGUGCCCAGGACUCUGACCCAGGUGACUGAUGGAAGGGGGAGAGGUAAAUGGGAAUGAACUCUGACCCAGGGAAACUGUGCCUGUUUACUGUGCCUGAUCUGGAGACUGUACAAAAGCCAGCUGGAAUUAUGGCUGGAGAGAAACCACAGAGCCACAGUUUUGCCACAGUUAUUUAGAGCAAAGAGACUGUCCCAUUAUCAGUUUUAAGUUGUAGGAAAGUGACCCUCAGCUGUAAAUGGGGAGGACUGGCUGUCGUGACAUGCACUCUCCUCAGCCCUUGCUACGUGCACUAACAGCUGCCCAAAACCUCUGUCUCAGCUACGGGGACAGGACCAUGCCUCCUGCCACCAGGAGGGUGACAGAAGAAAGGCAGUGCUCCUGGGUAGAGGACCUGGGAACCACGGCACCUCCCUUUGCAAAUUAAUAUUUUGUCAGUCAUGCUAGUUCCCCUGAAUCCAAACAACCCUAGGAACGCCACCGACAAGUUUAAUUUCCCAGGACUUCAAAGCUGAAGGCUAGACACCGAGCAUGGUGACUUUAUUGACACCAGCCAGGGUGCCGGGGAGAUGGCCACCGUAGACCUCAGUCUGGUCCAGCACCAAUGACGAGGAAUGAGCCUGCAGGGUUUACUCUAGCUAGGUAUGCUCGCCAAAUUCUAUCUGCCCUGGGCCUCGGUUCCUCCUAUGUAACAUGACGGGUGGACCUUGAUGUUCUCUGAGGACCUUCAAUCUCUGACACUCUGUACUGGAGAAUAUCAUUGACUUCUUUCCCUUUCUUGCUUUUCUCUUAAAUGUCAGAAAAGCAGAGUCUGCUGUAAAACUAGACCUUGGGGCCUGCUCUUGGAGUUGACUUACUAAACAAAUUAAAGAACUGUUUUCAGCAGAUUAAUGACGUCCUUCUCCAGUUCCCGUGGGAAUGUGGUUUAGUCAUGCAGGAGGGAGUCUGCCAAUUUUGACAUGACGCCUUCUCUCCACUAGGUGAGCUUCCAGGGUGCAGUGAGCCCCUGGCGGAAGCCCCUUUGCUCUGCGUGUACCUGUAAGGCUGGAGAUGUCAUGAGCGCUUCACACACGCACCUCAGCACAACUCCGGAGAAGUGAGAUGCCGCCAUCCUUCACGUUAGUGUCUCCUUGUGCAACUGUGUUGUUGGAAACAAUCAACCAGUUCAUCAACAGGAGCAGCAGUGGUGGGGGGGUGG